UCUUCCGCAAUGGACGAAAGUCUGACGGAGCAACGCCGCGUGAGUGAUGAAGGUUUUCGGAUCGUAAAACUCUGUUGUUAGGGAAGAACAAGUACCGUUCGAAUAGGGCGGUACCUUGACGGUACCUAAUCAGAAAGUCACGGCUAACUACGUGCCAGCCGCCGCGGUAAUACGUAGGUGGCAAGCGUUGUCCGGAAUUAUUAGGCGUAAAGCGCGCGCAGGCGGUUUCUUAAGUCUGAUGUGAAAGCCCCCGGCUCAACCGGGGAGGGUCAUGGGAAACGGGGGAACUGGAGUGCAGAAGAGGAGAGUGGAAUUCCACGUGUAGCGGUGAAAUGCGUAGAGAUGUGGAGGAACACCAGUGGCGAAGGCGACUCUCUGGUCUGUAACUGACGCUGAGGCGCGAAAGCGUGGGGAGCGAACAG
rnacentral:rRNA from 1 species